GGUGGGAUGGCGGAGUGGACAAACGUGCCUGCUUGGAAAGCAGGUGGCCUCGCGGCCUCGUGGGUUCGAAUCCCACUCCCACCG
rfam:Halogranum amylolyticum strain CGMCC 1.10121 genome assembly, contig: Ga0070203_114